GUGCUUGCUUUGGCAGCACACAUACUAAAACUGAAACGAUACAGAGAAGAUUAGCAUGGCCCCUGUGUAAAUUCGUGAAGUGUUCCAUAUUUAA
rnacentral:snRNA from 1 species